AACGCGAAGAACCUUACCAGGUCUUGACAUCCCGAUGCUAUUUCUAGAGAUAGAAAGUUACUUCGGUACAUCGGUGACAGGUGGUGCAUGGUUGUCGUCAGCUCGUGUCGUGAGAUGUUGGGUUAAGUCCCGCAACGAGCGCAACCCCUAUUGUUAGUUGCCAUCAUUCAGUUGGGCACUCUAGCGAGACUGCCGGUAAUAAACCGGAGGAAGUGGGGAUGACGUCAAAUCAUUAUGCCCCUUAUGACCUGGGCUACACACGUGCUACAAUGGUUGGUACAACGAGUUGCGAGUCGGUGACGGCGAGCUAAUCUCUUAAAGCCAAUCUCAGUUCGGAUUGUAGGCUGCAACUCGCCUACAUGAAGUCGGAAUCGCUAGUAAUCGCGGAUCAGCACGCCGCGGUGAAUACGUUCCCGGGCCUU
rnacentral:rRNA from 1 species